GUACUGAUGAAGAGUCCCAAAAUAGGGCGAAACAGCUGUCCAGCAC
rfam:Trichobilharzia regenti genome assembly, scaffold: TRE_scaffold0049983